rnacentral:rRNA from 1 species
UACGGAGGGGGCUAGCGUUGUUCGGAAUUACUGGGCGUAAAGCGCACGUAGGCGGCUUUGUAAGUUAGAGGUGAAAGCCCGGGGCUCAACUCCGGAAUUGCCUUUAAGACUGCAUCGCUAGAAUUGUGGAGAGGUAAGUGGAAUUCCGAGUGUAGAGGUGAAAUUCGUAGAUAUUCGGAAGAACACCAGUGGCGAAGGCGGCACUCUGGGCCGGUACUGACGCUGAGGAGCGAAAGCGUGGGGAGCGAACAGG